UCCAAGACCGUGGUUAGGGCUUAGGUCUCGUAACCGAAAGGUCGCGGGAUCGAAUCCCGCUGAAA
rnacentral:tRNA from 1 species